AAAGUUAUGCCGCAGCCUACACAUGCAAGUCGAACGGUAACAGGGGAAGCAGCUUGCUGCUUUGCUGACGAGUGGCGGACGGGUGAGUAAUGUCUGGGAAACUGCCUGAUGGAGGGGGAUAACUACUGGAAACGGUAGCUAAUACCGCAUAACGUCGCAAGACCAAAGAGGGGGACCUUCGGGCCUCUUGCCAUCGGAUGUGCCCAGAUGGGAUUAGCUAGUAGGUGGGGUAACGGCUCACCUAGGCGACGAUCCCUAGCUGGUCUGAGAGGAUGACCAGCCACACUGGAACUGAGACACGGUCCAGACUCCUACGGGAGGCAGCAGUGGGGAAUAUUGCACAAUGGGCGCAAGCCUGAUGCAGCCAUGCCGCGUGUAUGAAGAAGGCCUUCGGGUUGUAAAGUACUUUCAGCGGGGAGGAAGGCGAUAAGGUUAAUAACCUUGUCGAUUGACGUUACCCGCAGAAGAAGCACCGGCUAACUCCGUGCCAGCAGCCGCAA
rnacentral:rRNA from 1 species